GAAAAAAGUUAUGUCAUUUACUCCUUUGACAUUUAUUGAGUGUGAUGGUGGCAGGAAAGGUCUAGCUGCUAGGGUAGGUGGUAGAUCCACAUUACCAGGAGGGCAUACCUAUCUCAGCCCCUGAGGACUCUCAGCUGAAACCUUUACUGGAGCUUGUAGGCGGAUAUCACUCCCUACAGUGAUAGCUGGGAAGUUGUGCCCCCCUCAUCCCCACCCAUACACACAUACUCAGAGGCCAGCCUGCAGAAAAUGAGAUGACUGAUAUUUGAGGGGGUGGUGAAAAUUCAACCCCUAGCCUCAAGGUGGGACAACUCCGUGUUGUCAUUCGAGAACUAGAGCUCCUCCCCCACCAUCAGACUUAGGCUGAGCCCACAGCUGAUCUCACCUUACCCUAUUCUGUUUCCCUCAUUCCACAGGUCUCACCUGAAAGUACGCUCUCAAUAAGUCACAUGAUGAGAACUUUCAUCUUAGGCUGUGCGUCUAAGGACCCCAACUUACAGCAAAGAGCAACACCACAGCAGUCUCCACCGUCCAGAAGCUCGUUUAUGGUCAAGGGUCUGACACAUAAACAGGAACCAGUACUCCCUUAGCAUACCUCAGUCAGUGGGAGAUUACUGAGGCAUACCUGUGGCAAUAAGAAGAGAGACACAUGAUACCAUCUGGAACAGUGGCCUCACAGUAAGUGAAAUGCCAUAUGGGUACUGGGAGGACUAACCCCAGAGGUGGUCCUUCAUCUCCUUACUGUUCAUCACAAGCAUGACCAGUCUGUUCUCUCCAGCUGUUCUUCUGUGUUCAUUCCGUGUUCAUCUGAUGCAUCUCAUAGUACAGAUAUUUUUUUGAGUUUCUCAGUUCAAAUUCCUGAAAGAACUUUAUUGCCCUAUUGAAUCAUCACUCUUGUUGCUGCAAAGCUUUGUGUACUACUGGGGUUACUUGACAAAAUUCAGAUCACCUGCUUUUACAUCAGGAGUCAACUAUGCAUUUGAUCCAAGGGCAGAGAGAAGGUUCUUGUGGUAGGGAACAUGGCCA
rnacentral:lncRNA from 1 species